CCCCUUCUCCUCUGCCGUCCUCUUCUUAUAGCUCGCCGAAGACCAGCGAUGGAUCCCGAGAGAGAAGGAGGGCGUGAUGCUGGGAGGAUGAUCUCGCGGAGACUUGAUUCCUGUUGCACGCGAGGGCGUGAUGCUGGGAGGAUGGCAUGAUCUCGGGCGAAGAUGGGGAUGAAGCUCGAAACGGGUGCCGAUCCGGAAGGAGCUGGGUUACCGUCUCGUUGAAUGCAGUUGGCUGGGAUCGCGG
rnacentral:lncRNA from 1 species